rnacentral:tRNA from 2 species
ACUUAAAUAAUUUAAAAAAAAAUAUUGAUUUGUGGUAUCAAAAAUGUGAAGUUAAUAGUCAUUUUAAGUU